rnacentral:rRNA from 1 species
UACGUAGGGUCCGAGCGUUGUCCGGAAUUAUUGGGCGUAAAGGGCUCGUAGGCGGUCUGUCGCGUCGGGAGUGAAAACUUACAGCUUAACUGUGAGCGUGCUUCCGAUACGGGCAGACUUGAGGUAUUCAGGGGAGAACGGAAUUCCUGGUGUAGCGGUGAAAUGCGCAGAUAUCAGGAGGAACACCGGUGGCGAAGGCGGGUCUCUGGGCCGUAACUGACGCUGAGGAGCGAAAGCAUGGGGAGCGAACAGG